rnacentral:rRNA from 1 species
UACGUAGGAGGCGAGCGUUGUCCGGAGUUACUGGGCGUAAAGGGUGCGCAGGCGGCGGUUCGCGUGGAUAGAUGAAAUCUCCUGGCUUACCUGGGAGGAUGGUAUCCAGACGGGAUCGCUUGAGGGUCGGAGAGGGGCGUGGAAUUCCAGGUGUAGCGGUGAAAUGCGUAGAUAUCUGGAGGAACACCGGUGGCGAAGGCGGCGUCCUGGACCAACACUGACACUGAGGAGCGAAAGCCAGGGGAGCAAACGGG